rnacentral:rRNA from 1 species
UUCCUACGGGAGGCAGCAGUAAGGAAUAUUGGUCAAUGGAGGCAACUCUGAACCAGCCAUGCCGCGUGCAGGAAGACGGCCCUAUGGGUUGUAAACUGCUUUUAUACGGGAAUAAACCUCUCUACGUGUAGGGAGUUGAAUGUACUGUAAGAAUAAGGAUCGGCUAACUCCGUGCCAGCAGCCGCGGUAAUACGGAGGAUCCAAGCGUUAUCCGGAUUUAUUGGGUUUAAAGGGUGCGUAGGCGGCCUAUUAAGUCAGGGGUGAAAGACGGUGGCUCAACCAUCGCAGUGCCCUUGAUACUGAUGGGCUUGAUUACACUUGAGGUAGGCGGAAUGUGACAAGUAGCGGUGAAAUGCAUAGAUAUGUCACAGAACACCAAUUGCGAAGGCAGCUUACUAAGGUGUCAAUGACGCUGAGGCACGAAAGCGUGGGGAUCAAACAGGAUUAGAUACCCUGGUAGUCGA